GCCUAACACAUGCAAGUCGAGCGGCAGCACAAGUAAGUUUACUUAUGAGGUGGCGAGCGGCGGACGGGUGAGUAAUGCCUAGGGAUCUGCCCAGUCGAGGGGGAUAACAGUUGGAAACGACUGCUAAUACCGCAUACGCCCUACGNGGGGAAAGGAGGGGACCUUCGGGCCUUCCGCGAUUGGAUGAACCUAGGUGGGAUUAGCUAGUUGGUGAGGUAAUGGCUCACCAAGGCGACGAUCCCUAGCUGUUCUGAGAGGAUGAUCAGCCACACUGGGACUGAGACACGGCCCAGACUCCUACGGGAGGCAGCAGUGGGGAAUAUUGCUGCAAUGGGGGAAACCCUGAUGCAGCCAUGCCGCGUGUGUGGAGAAGGCCUUCGGGUUGUAAAGCACUUUCAGUAGGGAGGAAAGGGUGAGUCUUAAUACGGCUCAUCUGUGACGUUACCUACAGAACAGAAGGACCGGGCUAACUCCGUGCCAGCAGCCGCGGUAAUACGGAGGGUCCGAAGCCGUUAAUCGGAAUUCCUGGGGCGUAAAGCGUGC
rnacentral:rRNA from 1 species